GAUGUGGCUCUGACAGGCUCCUCGUGGAGCAGAGAUAACCAGCUCUGACAAGUCUUCAUCCUCCUGCCGCCGGGACCUUGGGGGCGAGCAGCCUGCCUGCUGGGGGCUCACACUCAGGAGGGGCACUGGCAGCAGGGAGAAGGGGUCAGAACAGAGCAGGAGCUGCAGGAGAUCAAGGUGUCCGCUGGUUCCACAUUUUGUCAUGCCGAAAAGGCAAGUUUCGGACGAAGGAAAAGGCCACACGUGGACACAAGGUUCUCUGUUUAUCCUGAACGACCAAGAAGACGGGAGCAAGAAUGGUUCUGUGGGUUUGGAAAUCGAUGGUUCUGUUUGUGAAGAAGUAGGAAAAUUGCCUGUUACCCUAAGAAGUCUACGGGCCGUGGUCAGAGCUUUAGGCUCCUGAUUCCCCACUCGGGUUGAGGUCACCGCUCACCUCUGCAGGUGCAGGCAGGAGAGAGGCAGUGAGUGGGUACAACCGGGCUGUGAAUUUGCUGAGGGAGGCAUUAUAAUGACGGCUCACAAAUCCAGGCUGGGACCACAUCAAGGAUUAUGGCGGGAGUGGUGUUGAGAGCUGAGCUAGGUGCUUAAUUACCGAGGAGGGCAAUGUGUGUUCCCUCCCCUUCCCCCCAGACAGCAGGGACAGAGGCGUGAGCCAGCAUCACCCCCUCUUGACACAGAGCUGGUCCCUCAACGUAAACCUCAGGGGUCAUGACUGAUGAUUGUAGGAAGUGAUGUGCUUGCUCUUCCUCAACGGGAAAGGGGGUCUGAGCCAAGCGGUGGCUCCCAGCAACCACACUGUGACCAUAAGAACAGCCAGCUGCAAAACAAAGACAAGACUGAGAAGACAAAGCCGAGAGAACCACAGGGAAGCAGGACCAGGGACCAGAUCAUGCUGUUCCUGAAACCCGGGGGCCUCCGGUGCCUCCGUUAGAAGAGGAAAUAAGCUCGCGUUGUUGUUUGAGCUGGUUAGAGCUGGAUUUUACAUUUUGUGCGGCCAAAGCCUCCUAACAGAGUUAGAUCCUUGCUACGGAGUCCAACUUGCAUCCCAGGCUCUGGAAACCCUCUAACGCACGAUCCUAUUCAUCUGCACGAGGGCCCUGUGACCUGGGAGUGAUUCAUCUUCCAUUUUGCAGAUGAGGAGACUGGGGCUUAGAGAAGCCAAGAAGCAUGGCGUGGCCCGCAGCCUGGAAUCCCUGGAGCCAGCGUUGGAUGUGGGGCUGCUUGGGCCAGAGUCCUGAUCUAAUUCACGCUCCCUUCCACCUGGUGCUUAGAAGCCAGAGUGGCCAUCCCUGGGGAGAGGAAGUGGAUAAGAUAAGCUGCCGGCAGCCAGGGGUCCAGACUUCCCGGCGGGGCAGGGGAAGGAGACAUCACUGGGAACAAAGCUUUCACCGCUGGCCCGAAUUACCUGGUCCCCCUGACAGCCAAGUGGACGGCGGCUGCCGGGGAGCGUCGGUGUGAAGUGUUUGCACGCUGGGGAACAAGACACAUCGGCAGCUUCCACUGAUGGGAAAAUAAUGAGGCCACAUCGCCCGGCUGAAAAAUGUACCUGUCUUCAUUAUUCCGGCAGAAAUGAAUAAAAACUUUCCAUUUGGGGAA